CUACGGGGCGCUCCAGUGAGGAAUAUUGCACAAUGGGGGGAACCCUGAUGCAGCAACGCCGCGUGGAGGAUGACGCAUUUCGGUGUGUAAACUCCUUUUAUAUGUCAAGAAAAUGACGGUAGCAUAUGAAUAAGCACCGGCUAACUCCGUGCCAGCAGCCGCGGUAAUACGGAGGGUGCAAGCGUUACUCGGAAUCACUGGGCGUAAAGGGAGCGUAGGCGGGUUGGAAAGUCAGGUGUGAAAUCCUACAGCUUAACUGUAGAACUGCACUUGAAACUUCUAAUCUAGAGGAUGGGAGGGGGAGAUGGAAUUAGUGGUGUAGGGGUAAAAUCCGGAGAUAUCACUAGGAAUACCUAAAGCGAAGGCGAUCUCCUGGAACAUUACUGACGCUAAGGCGUGAAAGCGUGGGGAGCAAACAGGAUUAGAUACCCCGGUAGUC
rnacentral:rRNA from 1 species